GACGAACGCUGGCGGCGUGCUUAACACAUGCAAGUCGAACGAAGUGGCGAACGGGUGAGUAACGCUUAAUCAACCUGCCCUUCAGAGGGGGACAAGAGUUGGAAAUGACGGCUAAUACCGCAUACGGAAGGAGGGGUUUGUGUCUGAUUAGCGGGUUGGGGGGGUAACGGCCCACCAAGGCGAUGAUCAGUAGCCGGUCUGAGGGGAAGAACGGCCAAAAUGGGACUGAGACACGGCCCAGACUCCUACGGGAGGCAGCAGUGGGGAAUCUUCCGCAAUGGAGGAAAGUCUGACGGAGCAACGCCGCGUGAGUGAGGACGGCCUUCGGGUUGUAAAGCUCCGUUAAUCGGGACGCGGUACCGGAAUAGAAAGCCACGGCUAACUACGUGCCAGCAGCCGCGGUAAUAC
rnacentral:rRNA from 1 species